UUCGUAUUCAAAUGGCGCCGCCUCGCGACGACACGUCGGGACGAGCGAGGCCCGCUUUGUCUUAUUCUUCGGAGGCCUGAAUGGCAGAAGCGGCUACUCCACACAGAGGCCGCCCUGCAAUCAGCAUCCAUCAAUGAAACAUGCCCGUCCGCCGGGAGCGCUGCAGGUGGAAGAGUCGCCGGCGUCGACUUGUACCGCGUCGGGCCCCGUUGAUGAGCUGCUGUGCGAGACGAGCACGCUUCACCGACGCCACGGCGGCUCCACAGUUCUCGUUGUGAUUCCACACGUGAAGGCGCAGCCAAUGGGGACGAGGUGGCGCCACGUCAUGAGUGUCGAAACUGAAUGUAUAAAAAACCUCAGUUUCCUUCCAUUCUGUGAAGAAGGAUGACCAGCAAAGCUGUGUAUGUGGGCCCCUUAUUGGGGGUAGGCCUGGCACUGCACUAUCUUCCGUAUCGGCCCACGCACGCGGAGUGCUUAACGCCUGCUUCACCUCCGCCACGGCUCGCCUCUGAUAUCGCAUUAUCUUCGGGCUAGGCCCACGUACAGGAAGUGCUUAACGCCUUCGUCACCUCCGCCGCAGCUUGCCUCUGGUAUCGCACUAUCUUCGGGAUCGACCCACGUACGGGGAGUGUUUAACGCCUGCGUCACCGCCGCUGCGGGUCGGCCCGGUGUUGCACUGUAUCUUCGGGAUCGGCCCACGUACGUGAAGUUUUGUGUCUGCAGACGGACACGAUCCUGUGUGAACUAGCCUCUAACAGCUUCGCUGUAAUAAAAGGCAUUAAUCUCCAAUUGAACGGCGCUGAGCGGUCUUUCGAGUUAUGAACUGCUCGCGGAUAAGCGAGCGCGUUGAGACGCUCGUGUGUUUUGAUUUGGCCUCACCGAGGCGCAGUUAGAACGCACGCGAGAGCAUGCGCGGACAAGGAACGCGCGGAAAAAAACAUUUCACCGAAAGGACUGCUCCGUUUUCGUAUUCCGACACGUAAGCAAUUUUAAGUGUCUCUGUCUUUCUUCGUUUUUUGAUAACGAACGGUCCCGGUGCAGUCUAUGACUUUGGGAGCCUUGUCUGUAUAUUUAUUCUAUAGAACGAAUUGUAUCAUGAAUGAAUAAUAAACUUUCCAGUGAAACUGAA